GUGGGGAAUCUUCCGCAAUGGACGAAAGUCUGACGGAGCAACGCCGCGUGAACGAUGACGGCCUUCGGGUUGUAAAGUUCUGUUAUACGGGACGAAUGGUACGACGGCCAAUACCCGUCGUAAGUGACGGUACCGUAAGAGAAAGCCACGGCUAACUACGUGCCAGCAGCCGCGGUAAUACGUAGGUGGCAAGCGUUGUCCGGAAUUAUUGGGCGUAAAGGGCGCGCAGGCGGCGUCGUAAGUCGGUCUUAAAAGUGCGGGGCUUGACCCCGUGAGGGGACCGAAACUGCGAUGCUAGAGUAUCGGAGAGGAAAGCGGAAUUCCUAGUGUAGCGGUGAAAUGCGUAGAUAUUAGGAGGAACACCAGUGGCGAGAGCGGCUUUCUGGACGACAACUGACGCUGAGGCGCGAAAGCCAGGGGAGCAAACGGGAUUAGAUACCCCGGUAGUCC
rnacentral:rRNA from 1 species